UACGUACCGUCCAAACGUUAUUCGGAAUUACUGGGCGUAAAGCGUGCGUAGGUGGUGAGUUAAGUCUGUCGUGAAAGCCCCGGGCUCAACCUGGGAAUGGCGAUGGAUACUGGCUCGCUAGAGUGCGGUAGAGGAGAGUGGAAUUCCCGGUGUAGCAGUGAAAUGCGUAGAGAUCGGGAGGAACAUCAGUUGCGAAGGCGGCUCUCUGGACCAGCACUGACACUGAGGUGCGAAAGCGUGGGGAGCAAACAGG
rnacentral:rRNA from 1 species